rnacentral:misc_RNA from 1 species
GCUUGAAGUGUUUGUUUUCUGAUCUUUAGCAUGUUGUAGGGCUCACAUCAUAUGGCGGAGGUGUAAUUCCCUCAUCUCCUGAAACAGGGUUAAAUUUUAGUAGGGACAUGGGGGGUGGGGUAACCAUCUACAAUGUGUGUUUGGAAUUUUUGUUAAUUUUGUCUUGUUAAAUUUGCUUUUUAUAGUGAUUUCAGUUGUACAUUGUUAAUGAUUGAUUGAUUUGAACAUGCAAUAAUACUUUUGAUUUUGCUGAAGUUGAUGUGAAGUUGUCCUACUUUGGUGGUGGUCAUUCUACUUUUCUUAAAAUGUGUCUCAUUGCACUUAGUUUUUUUUAGUGCUUCCAUGAACUUGUAAGUGCCUAGAUUCAUUGCCUUGAAUCUGCCAAAAGGGUUGUGAAUAUGAAUCCUUUUUCCUUUGAACAAGGAACUAGUCUCCUGCUUAUAACACUUUUUUUUUUCUUCCUUCCACUUUUAUGGAAAAAAUGUCAUUGCUGAAUAAUCUUUGAGGAUGAUUGUAAUGGACAUUGUGAACAUCAAAGGAUGAUGUAAAUAUUAGAAUGAUCUUGCCACAUUCAGUGCUGGAGUGGUCAUGAAUAGAUGUUCUGCUUCUUAUUUAGUUACAAUGUUUUGUUACAAUUUGUUUUUGUCAUAAGAGUUUCCAGGAUGUGACAAAUAUGUUCAAAAGGUAUUAUGAUUCAAAUUUUCUUUCCCAUGUUGGCUUAAUUAAAUUACCAUUAUUUUCUAAUAAGUGUUUCUUAUUAAAUCUCUAAUCCACCUCUGAUUCUUGGUCAUAAAAGCUGCAACUAAAUAUGUGCAUGCAUUUGUUCAGAUCACUACUGUAGAUGAAGC